GGGAAAAGUUAAUUCCUAGGGCUCCGAGGUCCUGCAUUUGUCAGGGAGCUGGACGUCAGCGCUAUCAUUACCAAGCAAAUCAGCCAGGCGGUUAAUGGUGGAAUCAGGAGACAUUUGCACUCUGCUAUCAGAAUGACAUCAUAACUAAAGCAGCCUUCAGCCAGAAGCCCUAGGCUCUCUCUGAGCAGAGGCCAGAGGGCUGCUGGGGGCGCCCCCCUGCGACUCUGUGGGCUGAAAGCUGAGUCCAGGCCCCUUCCAAGCACACGGUGGGCCCAGCCCCUAGCAUGUUCCCAGGAUAGCCAGGCAGACAGGAACUAGGGUUACAGUCUUUCCCCAAGCAAUCGACUCCACCGCCUGGGUGUGCACACUCUAAAUAAUAAUGUAUAUUUUGAUAAUCUGAGAGACUGUAAAAUCGUUUUCUUCAUCAGGCAAGAGCUGGCGUUUUAAGAAUGCAACUACAUUUCUGCAGUAAAAUGUAUGCCUUUCCAACAGAAUUGUCAAUCUGUCGGUGACCCGGGCUUCAUCAGAAGCUCUGCACCCUCCUUCAAGCAAUAGAAAUAGAUGACGCUGGGGGGAAGGAGGGCAAGCUAAAGGCAAAGCCCUUCCUGCUCUUGUUUUGGUUGCUUUUCUUUUAAAGCACAGUUGAACACACACGCACACACACACGCACACACACACGGAGACACAAACCUUAGAAUAAUGGGGGAGGCAUUUGGCGACAAGCUGCAUCCGCGACGCGGCGCGGCGACGAGCGACGAGGAGCCAGCCCCUCUUGCUAGCUGGCAGCUCAGUCUCCACGGCGGCGGCGGCGGCGGCGCGGACCGAAACUCGCCCCCGACCCGAGAUGCCCAACUCCACAGCGUGCCGAAGGUCGCCUCUCCAGUCUCGCUACAGACUGGGAGGCACAGGGAAGAUGUUGGUGAUGAGGAACACGUAGCCAGAGACACCUGUGUUGUACAAACACAUUGCACAAUGGCCCGGGAGGUCAGGUGUGAGGAUGAUGACGAAGGUGAUGGAGAAGAGAAACACAUUCUUCUCACCAGGCAGAUGCUCGGGCUUUUAUGA
rnacentral:lncRNA from 1 species